GACGGGGGGGGCAAGUGUUCUUCGGAAUGACUGGGCGUAAAGGGCACGUAGGCGGUGAUGUAAGACCGAUGUGAAAUCCCCGAGCUUAACCUGGGAACUGCGUCGGAUACUGGAUGGCUUGAAUCCGGGAGAGGGAUGCAGAAUUCCAGGUGUAGCGGUGAAAUGCGUAGAUAUCUGGAGGAAUACCGGUGGCGAAGGCGGCAUCCUGGACCGGCAUUGACGCUGAAGCGCGAAAGCUAGGGGAGCAAACGGG
rnacentral:rRNA from 1 species